rnacentral:rRNA from 1 species
AUGGGCCCUCAACACCCAUCAAUGCAUGGUGUUCUUCGACUGAUCGUUACUCUCGAUGGUGAGGAUGUUAUUGAUUGUGAACCCAUAUUAGGCUAUUUACACAGAGGAAUGGAAAAAAUCGCGGAAAACCGAACUAUUAUACAAUACUUACCUUAUGUAACAAGGUGGGAUUAUUUAGCUACUAUGUUUACAGAAGCAAUAACAGUAAAUGCACCAGAAUUCUUGGAGAAUAUUCAAAUACCACAAAGAGCCAGCUAUAUUAGGGUAAUUAUGUUAGAAUUAAGCCGGAUAGCUUCUCACUUGCUAUGGCUUGGACCUUUGAAUCGGGACCUUUUGGCUCAACUUUAUCCUAGUUUUGCCGAAGGAGCAACCCCUUUUUUCAUUUUAAAUUGGUCCAAAUACGCAGAAUUUCUGACUUUUCGCGGAGGACUAGAUCCAGUAACCGGUGGUCUCUGGCUGACCGAUAUUGCGCACCAUCAUUUAGCUAUUGCUAUUCUUUUCCUAAUCGCAGGUCAUAUGUAUAGGACCAAUUGA